rnacentral:pre_miRNA from 1 species
CUACUACUCCCUCCGUCCGAAAAUACUUGUCAUUGAAAUGGAUGUAUCUAGAUGUAUUUUAGUUCUAGACACAUCCAUUUUGAUAACAAGUAAUUCCAGACGGAGGGAGUAUUAU